rnacentral:rRNA from 1 species
ACUCCUACGGGAGGCAUCAGUGGGGAAUAUUGCACAAUGGGGGAAACCCUGAUGCAGCCAUGCCGCGUGUGUGAAGAAGGCCUUGGUUGUAAAGCACUUUCAGUAGGGAGGAAGGUAGUGUAGUUAACACCUGCACUAUUUGACGUUACCUACAGAAGAAGCACCGGCUAACUCCGUGCCAGCAGCCGCGGUAAGUACGGAGGGUGCGAGCGUUAAUCGGAAUUACUGGGCGUAAAGCGCAUGCAGGCGGCCUGUUAAGUCAGAUGUGAAAGCCCGGGGCUUAACCUCGGAAUUGCAUUUGAAACUGGCAGGCUAGAGUCUUGUAGAGGGGUUAGAAUUUCAGGUGUAGCGGUGAAAUGCGUAGAGAUCUGAAGGAAUACCAGUGGCGAAGGCGGCCCCUGGACAAAGACUGACGCUCAGAUGCGAAAGCGUGGGAGCAAACAGGAUUAGAUACCCCUGGUAGCACAGAG